rnacentral:tRNA from 1 species
UCGGCGCUGCCGAGGCGGUGCCCGGCGACGUUCAGGACGUCGUCGCUGCGGCCCAGGAUGCUGAUGUACCCGUGUUCGUCGCGGGUGGCGAG